rnacentral:lncRNA from 1 species
GGGCGGGGCCUUCUGUGGCGCCACUUCCUCCUCCAGCCAGCUUUAGCCUGCUUUCCUUCUGUUGUCGCCCACUUUCCUUCAUUUUCGCUCUCUUUCCUUACGGAUAUCGGCCCCUUUUCUUCCUCUCAUAGCCCGCGUAGGUGUCCAGAUGCUCCCGAAACGGCGGCGAGUGCGGGUCGGCUGUCCCGGUGGUGCUGUCACUUCCUCCACUUCGCCCUUAGUGCUCUUUCCCGGCGUCGCCAUCUACCUGGCUGAACCGCGCAUGGGCCGUAGCCGCCGGGCCUUUCUCACACGCCUGGCGCUGUCGAAGGGCUUCCGUGUCCUCGAAGUCUACAGGUGUGCCUACCUCUGCGUGGGGCACUGCGAAGAUCUGAUGUUGGUGUGGGGCCGGCUAAGCAGGCUUUUUCGCUGGGCCCGUUCAGAGACCCAGGUGACACAUAGCAUGCUCCUGCGGGGCGGCUGCACCUGCGUUAUUGGAU